ensembl:lncRNA
GGCAUUCGCCACAUUCAUGUGCUACCCGUUUAGGGACAAUGUUGAGGUUGAUUCACUCACAUCGAAAAUUGCAGCGCUGUUUCACCUGAACUCGUCUGAAGUGGAGGAUGAGAUUUUGAAACUACAGACUGACAUUCAGCUGAAGUCCAGGGCUCAUGGACAGUUCUGGAACUUACUCACAGGGGAAAAGUACCCAAACAUGAGGAAAUGUGCCACCUCCUUGACUGCAUUAUUUGGCUCUACUUAUUUAUGUGAGUCAGCCUUUUCCCUCAUGAAGAUCAUUAAGUCCACAAUUACCGUUCCACAAUGACUGAUCAUCAUUUGGAGGCCUGCUUGAGGCUGGCUAUCAGCAGCUACUGUCCGGACUAUGCAACCCUGGCUGAUUCUAUUCAGUGCACGUCAUCAGAGUAAGGUGGCGAUUGCAGGCGCAUUUUAUCCGAACUGCUUCCUCCAGGGAACUGUGGACGAGGAGCUCGCCUCCAAGGAACUCUAUGGAAACGACCCCAGGACCACCAUAGUGGUGUGUAAUCUCCCUCCAUUUGCAUUCCUCUACUAUAAACAGCUCCAGUCUCUCUUCAGACACUGUGAUUAAGUCAAAUCCAUCUCCUUUGACAGCUCCAGGGCCUAUGUAGAGUUCUACCGCUCGUCAAUGAGAGGUUCUGGCGUUCUCCCAGAGGUCUCUCUGUCUCUCCUCCUCGCGCAGCAGAGACUUCCUCUCCAUCUCAACGUUUAACCCGCUGGAGAGGUGGAGACUUGGGCAGGGGGGUAGUGUAUCUCACACCUCAGAUAUACACGGUACACACACACACACACACACACACACACUGCAGCGAGCAUCAUCAGAUGAGUCAUAGUUACAUUUUAAGUGAGAGUAGUCAUGUGACCACAUCCCCUAGAC